rnacentral:rRNA from 1 species
AGAGUUUGAUCCUGGCUCAGGAUGAACGCUAGCUACAGGCUUAACACAUGCAAGUCGAGGGGAAACGAUAUUGGAAGCUUGCUUCCGAUAGGCGUCGACCGGCGCACGGGUGAGUAACGCGUAUCCAACCUGCCCAUCACUUGGGGAUAACCUUGCGAAAGUAAGACUAAUACCCAAUGACGUCUCUAGAAGACAUCUGAAGGAGAUUAAAGAUUUAUCGGUGAUGGAUGGGGAUGCGUCAGAUUAGCUUGUUGGCGGGGUAACGGCCCACCAAGGCUACGAUCAGUAGGGGUUCUGAGAGGAAGGUCCCCCACAUUGGAACUGAGACACGGUCCAAACUCCUACGGGAGGCAGCAGUGAGGAAUAUUGGUCAAUGGACGAGAGUCUGAACCAGCCAAGUAGCGUGCAGGAUGACGGCCCUAUGGGUUGUAAACUGCUUUUAUAAGGGAAUAAAGUGAGCCUCGUGAGGCUUUUUGCAUGUACCUUAUGAAUAAGGACCGGCUAAUUCCGUGCCAGCAGCCGCGGUAAUACGGAAGGUCCGGGCGUUAUCCGGAUUUAUUGGGUUUAAAGGGAGCGUAGGCCGGAGAUUAAGCGUGUUGUGAAAUGUAGACGCUCAACGUCUGCACUGCAGCGCGAACUGGUUUCCUUGAGUACGCACAAAGUGGGCGGAAUUCGUGGUGUAGCGGUGAAAUGCUUAGAUAUCACGAAGAACUCCGAUUGCGAAGGCAGCUCACUGGAGCGCAACUGACGCUGAAGCUCGAAAGUGCGGGUAUCGAACAGGAUUAGAUACCCUGGUAGUCCGCACGGUAAACGAUGGAUGCCCGCUGUUGGUCUGAAUAGGUCAGCGGCCAAGCGAAAGCAUUAAGCAUCCCACCUGGGGAGUACGCCGGCAACGGUGAAACUCAAAGGAAUUGACGGGGGCCCGCACAAGCGGAGGAACAUGUGGUUUAAUUCGAUGAUACGCGAGGAACCUUACCCGGGCUUGAAUUGCAGAGGAAGGAUUUGGAGACAAUGACGCCCUUCGGGGCCUCUGUGAAGGUGCUGCAUGGUUGUCGUCAGCUCGUGCCGUGAGGUGUCGGCUUAAGUGCCAUAACGAGCGCAACCCCUCUCCUUAGUUGCCAUCAGGUUAAGCUGGGCACUCUGGGGACACUGCCACCGUAAGGUGUGAGGAAGGUGGGGAUGACGUCAAAUCAGCACGGCCCUUACGUCCGGGGCUACACACGUGUUACAAUGGCAGGUA